UACGGGGGGAGCAAGCGUUGUUCGGAUUUACUGGGCGUAAAGGGCGCGUAGGCGGUCAGUGCAAGUCAGUUGUGAAAUCUCCGGGCUUAACUCGGAAAGGUCAACUGAUACUGCUCGACUAGAGUGCGGAAGGGGCAACUGGAAUUCUUGGUGUAGCGGUGAAAUGCGUAGAUAUCAAGAGGAACACCUGCGGCGAAGGCGGGUUGCUGGGCCGACACUGACGCUGAGUGCGCGAAAGCUAGGGGAGCGAACGGG
rnacentral:rRNA from 1 species